UACGUAGGGCGCAAGCGUUAUCCGGAAUUAUUGGGCGUAAAGAGCUCGUAGGCGGUUUGUCGCGUCUGCCGUGAAAGUCCGGGGCUCAACUCCGGAUCUGCGGUGGGUACGGGCAGACUAGAGUGAUGUAGGGGAGACUGGAAUUCCUGGUGUAGCGGUGAAAUGCGCAGAUAUCAGGAGGAACACCGAUGGCGAAGGCAGGUCUCUGGGCAUUAACUGACGCUGAGGAGCGAAAGCAUGGGGAGCAAAAGGG
rnacentral:rRNA from 1 species